rnacentral:rRNA from 1 species
AUAUGCUUGUCCCGAAGAUUAAGCCAUGCAAGUCUUUUUGACGAUGGGGGUAACUCUAAAAUCUGCGAACGGCUCCAUAUAUCUGUUAUCACCCUCCAUACCAAAGAAAUAAGUUUCCAUUUCGGAUAACGGUGCAAAAUGUAGCUAUAAUACGUGAAAAUUUUGAUUUCCCACAAAGGGUCCAAUCCCAGUGUCCCAGGGCGGGUACACGCACUUCCCCUAGUGGGAUGAGGGUGUCCUCGCCUUGGCAGGUGGGUCGGAAACAUGUGGGAGGACUCACCCUUUCAACAAAAACUCUGGUACCGGUAGCGCUUUUAGUCCUCAACGGUACGCGCAGUAUAUGGAACGAGGUAAAGUGAGUACCCGAAUACGAUGGUAAUAGCUCCACGUUCAACAGAAUGGGGUAUGAGGGGUUCCAGACCUAUCAACUGGAAGGUUAGGUAUUGGCUAACCUUGGUGGUAACGGGUACAGAGGAUUAGGGUUUGAUCCUGGAGAGGUAGCCUGAGAGAUUGCUCCCACUUCUAAGGAAGGCAGCAGGCGCGCAACGUUCCCAAUGGGGAUGACCCUGAGGACGUGAAGGGGCAUAGCAAUACUGGGCCUUUACUGGCUCGGUAAUUGAAAUGUGGGCGGAUUAAAACCCCCACCGAGUAACAAUUGGAGGACAAGUCUGGUGCCAGCACCCGCGGUAAUUCCAGCUCCAAUAGCAUCUAAUUGAGUUGUUGCAGUUAAAACGCUCGUAGUCAAAUUAGGUAGUUCUAGCUUGCACGGUUAGUAAGCUGGUGGUAGUUAGCUCAGGGCCCCCUUCUGAAGGGGGUGCUGCUGCUGCGUGACCAGCGAAACACCCUGCGGGCUGACUUCCAGCUAAUCCCCUGCCUACCGCGUCCGCUACAGCUUGAUUGCUGGGAUUAAGUAGGGGGGGGAUAAUUUACUUUGAAUAAAUUUAAGCGCUUAAAGCAGGCGUUUGCGAUAUCGCAGCCUUGAAAAUGGUAGCAAAGAAUAAUACAGCAUGUUUUGUUAAUCACUGCGUGUCAGUAUUGGUGGAGUGAAAUUCCAGAAAAUGAUUAAUAGGGGUGAUCGGGGUCAGCCACAUGGCCUGGGGAGGGGUGAAAUCCGUUGAUCCUAGCCAGGUGAACUAAUGCGAAGGCAGCUGACAAGUACACUUUCUUUGAUCAAGAACGAAAGCCUGGGGAGCGAAUGUGAUCAGAUACCACAGUAGUCUAGGCCCUAAAUGUUGCCGACCAUGGGUGGGCUUUUGUCCAUCAUGACCCCGUCCGAACCUUGUGAGAAAUCAAAAGUUUUUGGGCUCCGGGGGGAGUAUGGUCGCAAGACUGAAACUUAAAGGAAUUGACGGAAGAGCACACAAGGAGUGGAGCCUGCGGCUUAAUUUGACUCAACACGGGGAAACUCACUAGAGCAUGAAAAAACGGAUGACUGACAGUCUAUAGGGCUUUCAGGAUUCAUUUAGUGGUGGUGCAUGGUCGUUCUUAGUUCGUGGAGUGAUUUGUCUGGUCAAUUCCGCUAACGAGCGAGAACCCUCCUACUGAUGUUGGGCUGGUUGGCAUGCCAAGCUGGAUAGGGGGCAAUGGGAGGGUGGGGUCAAACCUGCCCACCUAAAGCACCCAUUUACCCUGGUUUACUGGGGGUCUGGAUGGGCUGUAAAAGCCAGACAGCUCGUUCUGAGAGUAGCAGCCCCGUCAAGGGGCUGGUUGUGGGUCAAUAACAGGUCAGUGAUGCCCUUAGAUGCUCUAGGCCGCACGCGCGCUACAAUGGGGGGACGAGCCGGUACCUGCCCCGAAAGGUGGUAGGGAAUCCAUAAAAGCCCCCCAUAUCUGGGAUUGGGGUGUGUAAAGCACCUCAUAAACAAGGAAUUUCUAGUAGUUACAGGUCACCAACCUGUGGCGAUUC